GACGAACGCUGGCGGCAUGCCUAAUACAUGCAAGUCGAGCGAACAGAUGAAGUGCUUGCACUUCUGACGUUAGCGGCGAACGGGUGAGUAACACGUAAGGAAUCUACCUAUAAGCGGGGGAUAACAUUCGGAAACGGGUGCUAAUACCGCAUAAUAUCUUCUUCAGCAUGGAAGGAGAUUGAAAGACGGCUCUGCUGUCACUUAUAGAUGACCUUGCGGUGCAUUAGUUAGUUGGUGGGGUAACGGCCUACCAAGACGAUGAUGCAUAGCCGACCUGAGAGGGUGAGCGGCCACAUUGGGACUGAGACACGGCCCAAACUCCUACGGGAGGCAGCAGUAGGGAAUCUUCCGCAAUGGGCGAAAGCCUCAAGGAGCAAUGCCGCGUGAGUGAAGAAGGCCUUCGGGUCGUAAAACUCUCGAAUAAGAGAAGAACAAAUUGAAGAGUAACUGCUACAGUCUUGACGGUAUCUUAUCAGAAAGCCACGGCUAACUACGUGCCAGCCGCCGCCGUAA
rnacentral:rRNA from 1 species